ACUCCUACGGGAGGCAGCAGUGGGGAAUAUUGCACAAUGGGCGCAAGCCUGAUGCAGCCAUGCCGCGUGUAUGAAGAAGGCCUUCGGGUUGUAAAGUACUUUCAGCGGGGAGGAAGGCAAUACGGUUAAUAACCGUGUUGAUUGACGUUACCCGCAGAAGAAGCACCGGCUAACUCCGUGCCAGCAGCCGCGGUAAUACGGAGGGUGCAAGCGUUAAUCGGAAUUACUGGGCGUAAAGCGCACGCAGGCGGUCUGUCAAGUCGGAUGUGAAAUCCCCGGGCUCAACCUGGGAACUGCAUUCGAAACUGGCAGGCUUGAGUCUUGUAGAGGGGGGUAGAAUUCCAGGUGUAGCGGUGAAAUGCGUAGAGAUCUGGAGGAAUACCGGUGGCGAAGGCGGCCCCCUGGACAAAGACUGACGCUCAGGUGCGAAAGCGUGGGGAGCAAACAGGAUUAGAUACCCCAGUAGUCCCA
rnacentral:rRNA from 1 species